GGUCCCAACAUACGUUUAGGGAAACUGAAAGCUGGCUAGCCCAGGCUGUCCAUCUUAGACUCCAUUCCUAAGUGGCAGGGAUGACAGCAAAAUGUUGGCAAUGCCUGGGGAGGAAGCUGAUUCUUUCUGGUCCUCCAAUCAGUUCUGUAUCUCAAACUCAGGCCUCAAACUCCAAAUUUGUGGUUGUCCAUAUCAGAUACCAGACAUGGAAACCAAAAGUCCUCUAUCAAAGAUCAAAAGGGAUCCAGUCAAGUUCCAUUUGAAUCUCAGCUUUACUCUUUUUCUGUUCUUCCUAAAUCUCAGUUUCUCAUCUUGACUCUAUGGAAAAGCUUUUUUCCUUUUUGCACUUACAACUUUUUCCUAAGAGAUUUAAGUGUAGGUUAAAGUCCAGUUCCCUCUCCUAACAUCAUACUACACCUAGCCACAUUGACCCCUUGCUCUUUUUCCCAACACAUCACCAUCCCACCAUCUUUUGUGCCUCUAUGACUUUGAAUAUACUCUCUCUUUUUUUUUUUCUUUUUGGGUACUGGAGGUUGAACCUAGAGGCACUGCACCACCG
rnacentral:lncRNA from 1 species